GACGAACGCUGGCGGCGUGCCUAACACAUGCAAGUCGAACGGAAAGGCCCGGCUCUUGUGGGGUGCUCGUGUGGCGAACGGGUGAGUAACACGCGAGUAACCUGCCCUUGACUUUGGGAUAACUUCAGGAAACUGGGGCUAAUACCGGAUAGGAGCUCCUGCUGCAUGGUGGGGGUUGGAAAGUUUCGGCGGUUGGGGAUGGACUCGCGGCUUAUCAGCUUGUUGGUGGGGUAGUGGCUUACCAAGGCUUUGACGGGUAGCCGGCCUGAGAGGGUGACCGGCGACAUUGGGACUGAGGUACGGAGCAGACUGCUACGGGAGGCAGCGGUGGAGAAUAUUGCGCAAUAGGCGGAAGCCUGAUGCAGAAGCGCCGCGUGCGGGAUGACGGCCUACGGGUUGUAAACAGCUUUCGCCGGUGACGAAGCGUGAGUGACGGUAAUGGGUAAAGAAGCACCGGCUAACUACGUG
rnacentral:rRNA from 1 species